rnacentral:rRNA from 1 species
GAUCCUGGCUCAGGAUGAACGCUGGCGGCGUGCCUAACACAUGCAAGUCGAACGAAGCUUGACGGAUGAUUUCUUCGGAAUGAAACCAGAUAUGACUUAGUGGCGGACGGGUGAGUAACACAUGAGCAACCUGCCUUUCAGAGGGGGGAUAACGGCUGGAAACGGUCGCUAAUACCGCAUGAUGUGUUCGGAUGGCAUCAUCUGAACAUCAAAGAUUUAUCGCUGAAAG